rnacentral:rRNA from 1 species
GACGAACGCUGGCGGCGUGCUUAACACAUGCAAGUCGAACGGAAAGGCCCUGCUUUUGUGGGGUGCUCGAGUGGCGAACGGGUGAGUAACACGUGAGUAACCUGCCCUUGACUUUGGGAUAACUUCAGGAAACUGGGGCUAAUACCGGAUAGGAGCUCCUGCUGCAUGGUGGGGGUUGGAAAGAUUCGGCGGUUGGGGAUGGACUCGCGGCUUAUCAGCUUGUUGGUGGGGUAGUGGCUUACCAAGGCUUUGACGGGUAGCCGGCCUGAGAGGGUGACCGGCCACAUUGGGACUGAGAUACGGCCCAGACUCCUACGGGAGGCAGCAGUGGGGAAUAUGGCACAAUGGGCGGGAGCCUGAUGCAGCAACGCCGCGUGCGGGAUGACGGCCUUCGGGUUGUAAACCGCUUUCGCCUGUGACGAAGCGUGAGUGACGGUAAUGGGUAAAGAAGCACCGGCUAACUACGUG